GGAGGAAAGCAGGGGAUCGCAAGACCUUGCGCUUUUGGAGCGGCCGAUGCCUGAUUAGCUUGUUGGUGAGGUAAAAGCUCACCAAGGCUCCGAUCAGUAGCUGGUCUGAGAGGACGACCAGCCACACUGGGACUGAGACACGGCCCAGACUCCUACGGGAGGCAGCAGUGGGGAAUUUUGGACAAUGGGGGCAACCCUGAUCCAGCCAUGCCGCGUGAGUGAAGAAGGCCUUCGGGUUGUAAAGCUCUUUCAGCCGGAACGAAACGGUCACGGUUAAUACCCGUGACUACUGACGGUACCGGAAGAAGAAGCACCGGCUAACUACGUGCCAGCAGCCGCGGUAAUACGUAGGGUGCGAGCGUUAAUCGGAAUUACUGGGCGUAAAGUGUGCGCAGGCGGUUUUGUAAGUCAGAUGUGAAAUCCCCGGGCUUAACCUGGGAACUGCGUUUGAAACUACAAAGCUAG
rnacentral:rRNA from 1 species